rnacentral:rRNA from 1 species
UACGAAGGGUGGCAAGCGUUGUUCGGAAUCAUUGGGUCGUAAAGCGCGCGCAGGCGGAUCAGUAAGUCAGGUGUGAAAAUCUCGAAGCUCAACUUCGAAACUGCGCCUGAAACUACUAGUCUAGAAUGUCGGAGGGGGGCAGGGGAAUUUCACGUGUAGGGGGUAAAAUCCGUAGAGAUGUGAAGGAACACCGGGGGCGAAGGCGCCUGCCUGGACGACUGAUUGACG